rnacentral:lncRNA from 1 species
GGUCCCUGAGUGGGCCGUGUGCCAGGAGCCUGGCCAGAGAGCCAAGAGUGGUCAUGGCCCCCUGGGAGUUCUACUCUUUUCUAGGCAGCAGCAGUGACUGAGACCUUGUACACAAAACUCAUUCAUUCAAUCAGUAUUUAUCUAGGACUUCCAGAAACAGUGCUAAGCUGUGCUGGAGAGUGAUAGUAAAAAAGACACAGUCCCUACCAGCGAGAGACAUUGGGUCCAGCUGAUGAGUAAGACAAGCCAACAGAGUAGGGCAACAAGACCAGGAUCCCUUCGGGGCAUUACUGAGCACACGGCCUCGGUCUGGAAUUCUGGACACAUUCUUCACCUUAACUGGGGGUGCAUUGGGGAUUUAAAACCCCCAAGAGCCAGGGAUCUUUCCCACCCAAGCUAAUUUCUGGGCAGCUGUGCCACUGCAGGGCAUGCAGAAGGAAGAGAGCCUUCCAGAGGAAAGUCGCCUUGUUCCUUGCUUUGUGACCCUCAUCUCUGCGAGGUAGAGAAGAAAAGGAGGGCUCUUCCAUCGGGAGCUUCCAAGGUUCCGGGUGAGAGCUAGCCAGCUCUGCAUUUGGAGCAGAGAGAGACAGGAAUUUGGGACACUAGGUCACAAGUUGGUCUCUUCCUUUGUCAGCAGUCCAUUCAACAUGGCAAUGCCCACACCCACCUCACAAGGCAUGGAUGACACAAAGAGAUGGCUUGCCUGCAAGAGACCCAGCUGGUCUGGAGUUGGAGGCACACUUCAUUUCUCUGCCCAGCUCGGCAGGCGGCUGGAGCAAACCAGGAGAUCGCCUCAAAUGUUUUAAAUGUCAAUAUGGUCCCUUCUUGCUGGCUUGCCAAGAUUUGACCAGCUAAAUUGGCCUGUGUGGUGUGUUCCCUGCAGUGCACGAGCAAAGGAUCCUGCGCUCAUUCUGCGCCCUCUCCCUCUGGUCUCCUUUGCGCUGGGCAGGACCUUGGCCUCUCUCUGUGUUCUUUCACCUUGGCUUCUGAAGAGUACGCAUCUGGGAUUUCUUCGUGGUUGGAUUCGGGCGCUGCGUUCUGGCGGGAAAACCGCUGGAAUGACACUACGGACUUCUGGGUGCGGCUUCUCAGUGUUGGGAGGCCCACGAUGGCAGUUUGGCCCAUGAUUGGUAACACUGGCUUUGAUCCUUCCAAUGUGAUUUUUUUUUAACUUUUAUUUUAAGUUCAGGGGUACAAGUGCAGGUUUGUUACGUAGGUAAACUUGCGGCGUGGAGGUUUGUGGCAUAAAUUAUUUCAUCACCCAGGUAUUUUUUUUUUCUUUUUUGAGACGGAGUCUCGCUCUGUUGCCCAGGCUGGAGUGCAGUGGCCCGAUCUCCACUCACUGCAAGCUCUGCCUCCCGGGUUCACGCCAUUCUCCUGCCUCAGCCUCUCGUGUAGCUGGGACUACAGGCGCACGCCACCAUGCCCAGCUAAUUUUUUGUAUUUUUAGUAGAGACAGGGUUUCAUCGUGUUAGCCAGGAUGGUCUCGAUCUCCUGACCUCGUGAUCCGCCCGCCUCAGCCUUCCAGAGUGCUGGGAUUACAGGCUUCAGCCACCGUGCCCAGCCUCACCCAGAUGGAGUUUCAAUCUGUCACCCAGGCUAGAGCACAGUGGCACAAUCUUGGCUCACUGCAACCUCUGUCUCCAGGAUUCAGAUGAAAAACCCAAGGUCCAGAAAGGGGACGCAAUGGCCAUAGCAGCAGCAGAGCAGGGACUGAAUCCCAAGGCUGAUGACUUUGACUUCGGUGCUCCAGCAUUCGUCUUCCCUGGAUUUCUCAGCUCGCAGGCUCGAUAACUCUCUUCUCUCCCCAGACUUGUUGGCAGGCAAGAGGAAUAACUCAUGUGAGUCAAAAGCAAUUUGCAAACAUAAAUAAUUUUCAAUGCCAGGAGAGGAGACGGUGGGAAGAUGCAUGGAAGGUUGAGAGGAACACAGCCAGCCCCAAGUCUCCCUCGCCCUGCUGGGCACUUCCUCUUUCCACCUCGGCGCUGGUGGGAGAGUCGGAGUGCGCCAUAAACAAGGCAGGAAACGGCUAUCAUGAUGCUCACUUCCGCUCUUCCUAGAAGGGAUUCUGCUCGGCAAUCUCUCCACUCCCCACCCCCUGCCAUGCACAGGAUUUUGUACUCCCAGCUCCUCUGGAGGCUCAGAGGAGGAGAUGGUCCUGCUGCACUGGCCCAGCCUUCCUCUACCUGGCUUGUCUUUUUCCUUGUCCUCAACCCCAAACAGCAAGUAUCCUAACAAAGAAUGGAUAGUACACUAUUAUUUUUGUGACAUUCAUCUCAGUGUCAUAUUCCAAAGGAGCUUGACAUUAAUUGUCCUGUUCCUAAUUUGGACACUGGUUUACGAAAGUGUGGUGACCACUGGAGACUGUUCUCUGACAGUGUAACAGGUAUUCGCCCCUUUCCCCAGGGUACUAAGACUCACGUGGCCCUGACAGCCAGCACAGUCUCUUAGGAGGUUCCGGAGGGUGGCAGUGGGAAUGAGCGUAGAGCCGUGUCAUUUCGGAGGGCUGAGUGCAUUCCACACAUCUUCCCAAAGCCCACCCCAAGAGGCUGUCUAACGCAGGGGGAAACAAUGAGAAACCAGAUACCAUG